UACGAAGGGUGCAAGCGUUACUCGGAAUUACUGGGCGUAAAGCGUGCGUAGGUGUUUGUUAAGUCUGAUGUGAAAGCCCUGGGCUCAACCUGGGAAUUGCAUUGGAUACUGGCAGGCUAGAGUGCGGUAGAGGGUAGUGGAAUUCCCGGGUGUAGCAGUGAAAUGCGUAGAGAUCGGGAGGAACUCCGUGGCGAAGGCGACUACCUGGACCAGCACUGAC
rnacentral:rRNA from 1 species